rnacentral:rRNA from 1 species
UCGAGAAUUUUUCACAAUGGGGGAAACCCUGAUGGAGCGACGCCGCGUGGGGGAUGAAGGGCUUCGGCUCGUAAACCCCUGUCAUUCGCGAAUAAUUGCUGUGGCCUAACACGUCACGGUUUGAUAGUAGCGGAAGAGGAAGGGACGGCUAACUCUGUGCCAGCAGCCGCGGUAAUACAGAGGUCCCAAGCGUUGUUCGGAUUUACUGGGCGUAAAGGGUGCGUAGGCGGCAGGGAAAGUUCGGGGUGAA